CUGCUCAUGAAAUUAAAUAGCCGCAGAAUUUUUACUGUGCUAAGGUAGCAAAAUCAUUUGCCUUUUAAUUAAAGGCCAGUAUGAAAGAUUUAACAUUUUAAUUUUUCUAUAAAAAUCUAUUUUUCCAAUUUAUUCUAAAUGUAAAAAAACAUUUAUUAAAUAGAAAGACGACAAGACCCUAUCGAACUUAACUUAAGUUUAACUGGGGCAGUUAAUUAACUAAAAUCUUAAUACACUUAAUUUAAUAAAAAGACCCAAUAAAAUUGAUUAUAUGAUCAAGUUACCGUAGGGAUAACAGCGUAAUAAUUUUUAAAAGCUCUUAUUUAAAAAAUUGAUUGCGACCUCGAUGUUGAAUUGAUAAAAUCUAUUAAAUGCAACCAUUUAAAAAGAAGGUCUGUUCGACCUUUAAUCUUUCACAUGAUCUGAGU
rnacentral:rRNA from 1 species